GUUAGAAAACAUUUUAUUACAAAGAAAUUUUGUGGUAAAUGUACCCACGUAAUAUUUCUAAACAAACUGAUAGGAAAUUUUUUUUUUUUUACAGCUCAGAAAGCUUUGUGCAUUAAAAAAAAUAAAAAAUAAAAUUAAAAAAAAAAAAAUUGCAAAUAGUGUAGUAGAGUUAAAAGUCAUGGUACUUUCCCCUGAAGGAACAAGGUGGUGAGCUCUGGUUUGUAAUUCACAGGAUAACUGCUCCCAGCACUUCUGAUGCCCCUCCACCUUCUGGGCUGUAACCGCUGAUGCUGUGGCAGUGUCCCGGGAUGCUUCGGAAGUGAUGGAUUGAGGCACACACGUAAUGACCUGUUCCAGUCAGAAACUGAGACAGCCUCAAAAGGAGUUGCCAACCAGAUCUAUAGAGUGAGACAUGUCGAACAGCUCAGUCCUAAGGCAUUUGCCAUGAAGACUGUGUGAGCCAGUACUCUCACUUAGCAGCUACCUCAUUUCUGGGAGAUGUUUCAUUUCAUCAGACAGCUUUCUCCACAACUGAACAAG
rnacentral:lncRNA from 1 species